rnacentral:rRNA from 1 species
AUACAAAACCAAUGCGGAGCAAUCCGGUUUUUGGUGAAUCAUAAUAACUUAACGGAUCGCAUGGCCUUGUGCCGGCGAUAGUUCAUUCAAAUUUCUGCCCUAUCAACUUUCGAUGGUACGGUAUUGGCCUACCAUGGUUA